rnacentral:tRNA from 1 species
AAAAAAAUAAGCUAACAAAAGCUUUUGGGCUCAUACUUCAAAAAUAAAGGUUAAUACCUUUUUUUUAA